rnacentral:misc_RNA from 1 species
GUAUUAUGUGUGGAUGGAUUUAAAGGGAUCCCUAAGAUGGAGUCGGAGUCUUAUAGCGCCUUCGCCCUCCUCAAGGAUCGCGUCAUUGACGGAUCUGCUUCGAACAAGGAAGUGGUUAAUUCUGUUUUAAAUCUUUUGGUUGGUGGAGAAUUUGACCUUGAACAAAAUUUUGUCAUUGCUGAUCCAGACCAUAUUAGUCAUAUGAUGGAUUUGUUGGAUCAUUCUGACCCUUCACAACAAGCAGAAAUUUCAUCCGUGUUUACAGCUAUUCUUCGUAAGUCUGUUCGUAAUUUACAAGCAUGCACAGAAGCAAAGCUCAUGGAAUACCUUCUCAAACGUUUGCCGAAAGCUCCACCAGUUGUGACCGAUCUUUUAGUUGAUUUAAUGGGGAUUUUAGCAUCCUAUUCAAUAACAGUAAAAGAGCUUAAACUUCUUUUUGCUGCUAUGAAGUCGGAUAAAGGGAAAUGGCCCAGACAUUCCAAGAAAUUAUUAAAUGUUUUAAAACAAAUGCCGAAUCGAACUGGACCCGAUGUCUUUUUUAGCUUUCCUGGAGUGAAAGGUUCAGCUAUCAUCCUUCCUCCUUUAUCUCGAUGGCCUUAUGAAAAUGGGUUUACUUUUACAACUUGGUUCCGAUUAGACCCUUUGAAUGCUGUGAAUAUUGAGAGAGAGAAACCUUAUUUAUACUGCUUUAAAACAGCCAAAGGGGUCGGAUACUCUGCACAUUUUGUGGGUAAUUGUCUUGUUCUUACUUCCAUGAAAGUAAAAGGAAAAGGCUACCAACACUGUGUCAAAUAUGAAUUUCAACCCAGGAAAUGGUAUAUGAUUGCCAUUGUGUACAUUUAUUAUCGAUGGACCAAGUCAGAAAUUAAAUGUUUUGUGAAUGGGCAGCUAGCUUCAUCCACUGAGAUGGCAUGGUUUGUCUCAACGAAUGAGCCUUUUGAUAAGUGUUAUAUUGGUGCUACACCAGAUGUAGAUGAGCAGCGAGUAUUCCGUGGUCAAAUGUCAGCAAUCUAUCUUUUCGACAAUGCACUCAGUCCUCAACAAGUUUGUGCCAUGCAUAGAUUGGGCCCUGGAUAUAAAAAUCAAUUUCGAUUUGAAACAGAAGGAGGUCAAUUGAGUGAAAUCCACAAAAAAGUCCUUUAUGAUGGACGACUUUCAAAUGCAAUAGUUUUCCUAUACAAUCCUGUAUCAACAGAUAGUCAACUCAUUCUUCAGUGUGCUCCAAAAGGCUCUGGAGGGUACUUUGUUCAUUCUCCACACGCAUUAAUGAUGAAGGAUGUAAAAGCAGUUGUUACGCACUCCGUUCACACUACUCUAAAUUCAAUAGGUGGAAUUCAAGUAUUAUUUCCACUAUUUGCUCAGUUAGAUUUACCCUCCGAGGAGUCUGCCAUAACAGGAACAUCUGAUCAAACCCUUUGUUCAAAAUUAAUGAGUUUUAUUUGUGAAUUGGUUGAGAGCUCACCUAGUAUUCAACAACAAGUUAUCUCGGGGAGAGGAUUUUUAGUUAUAUCGCAUCUCUUGAAUCGAUCUUCUAGAGAGCAUCUGACAGUUGAAUUAUUAUUGACAUUUUUAAAGCUCACAAAAUAUUUAGUUACUUGUCAAUCCAAUAAUUCUGAUUCAUUACUUAAACAACUCUUGGAUCAUUGUUUGUUCAAUCCUACCCUUUGGAUCCACACUCCAGCGCUUGUUCAAACAAAACUUUAUUCCUAUUUAGCAACAGAUUUCCUAUCAGAUACACAAAUUUAUAGCAACGUACGAAGGGUAUCCACUGUUCUUCAAACAAUGCAUACUCUGAAGUACUACUAUUGGGUGGUCGAUCCAUCGGAACAAACUGGAAUUACACCAAAGGGCCUUGAUGGUCCCCGUCCGAAUAAAAAUGAAAUUAUGACAAUUCGCUCGUACAUGCUUUUGUUUGUAAAACAAUUGAUAUUGAUUGGGAAUGGAGUUAAAGAAGAUGAGCUUCAAUCUAUUCUCAAUUAUUUAACCACUGUUCAUGAAGAUGAUAACUUGCAUGAUGUACUCCAAAUGCUAAUGUCUCUCAUGUGCGACCAUCCAUCGAGCUUAAUACCCGCCUUCGAUCUAAAAGGAGGAGUCAAGACAGUUUUUAAAAUGCUGUCCUCCAACUCACAGUUGAUUCGACUUCAAGCUUUAAAACUACUAGGAUUCUUCCUCUCUCGUUCAACUCAUAAGAGAAAAUAUGAUGUUAUGAAUCCUAAUAAUUUGUACACUCUACUCAUCGAAAAAUUACUUUUGAAAGAAGAAACACUGUCUAUAGCUACUUAUAAUGUUUUGUAUGAAAUAUUGACGGAAAAUGUAAGUCAACCUGUUCUUUACCAAAAACAUCCUGAGCCAGAAAAUCAUUUUAGACUAGAGAACCCAAUGAUUCUGAAAGUUGUUGCUUCCUUGAUUCGUCAGUCUAAGCCUUGUCUAAAUCUGGAAGAAGUAAAAAAGUUAUUUUUGUCUGAUAUGACGCUUUUAUGCAACAAUAAUCGAGAGAAUAGACGAACAGUACUACAAAUGUCCGUUUGGCAAGAGUGGCUCAUUUCCCUUGCCUAUAUACAUCCAAAGGAUUCGGAUGAAGAAAAGAUUUCUGACAUGGUAUUUGCUCUCUUCCGAAUGUUAUUACAUCAUGCUAUCAAGUAUGAAUUCGGUGGAUGGCGUGUUUGGGUGGAUACAUUGGCCAUUGUUCAUUCGAAAGUGUCAUAUGAAGAAUUUCGUUUACAAUUUAGUCAAAUGUAUGAAUCUUAUGAGAGAAGACGUGCUGACAAUAUUACAGAUCCAGAAGUUCGUUCUCAAAAGCCUAUUUCUACCAUUUCUGGGUUGAAUGAGGACGAAGAAGAAAGUGAGGAGGAUGAGGAAGGCGAAGAAGAUAUCGAAGAGGAUGAAAGUACUUCUGAAAUUAAAGCACUAGAAAAGUCUGAUGUCGAAGAUUCUCUGACGGGUGUUGAAGAAGAUGAUGAUGGAAGUCAAAGGGAAGAGGAGGUGGAAGAAGAAGAGGAAGAUAGUAUUGAGACUGACGAAAAAUUUCAAGAAAAGUCGAAUGAGAAUCAACAGAGUGAGAAAAAUGCGGGUGAUGUGGAAGAAGGAAAUAAUAAUAAUGAAUCAAAGAAGGCUGUGAAAGAAAUACACGAUGAUCUUGAUGGUGACGAUAGUGAGGAUACUCAAGAAGAAGAGGAAGAAGAAGCAUCUUCUUCCCAACUAGUGGAAGGUGCUAAAAUCCCUCUGACAAAUGGAGAACAUAAGAGUGCUUCAAUCGAAGAAAAUCAAUUUGAAAGUGAUAAACCAGAAGUGGAAGAAAAGAGCAGAACAAGUAGUGCUACUGAUAAAGAGGAUUCUCUCCAAACUAUUGAUUCUGAGACAGACAUUGUACGGGGAUUAAGUCCUCAUGAUAUUAAACAGGAUUCUGUUUCACAAGCCACAACUCCUGAAGGGAUUAGUACUGUUGAUGAACCCCAUUGUAGCGCUGGAGAGAUAACUCCAUCCAUAAGUAAUAAAAAUGUUAGUCCUAUCAGUAAUACUGAAAGUGUCGUCAAAGAAGAAAGUGAACUUACUCCUCCUCCUCCUCCUAUUCUACCAAAAGAAGUAGUUGAAAUGCCUAAAAACCUUCCAGAGGCCACCCUAAAGGAGGAAUCAAAUAAGCCUCCUACAUUUAGUCCAGGACCAGCUCGACCUCCUUUUCGAAUACCUGAAUUUCGUUGGUCUCAUAUACAUCAAAGACUUUUAUCGGAUGUGCUGUUUUCUCUCGAGACAGACAUACAAGUUUGGCGAUCCCAUUCAACUAAAUCUGUUUUGGACUUUGUUAAUAGUACGGAUAAUGCCAUAUUUGUGGUUAAUACAGUUCAUUUGAUUUCUCAGUUAGCUGAUAAUUUGAUUAUUGCUUGUGGUGGCCUUUUGCCUCUUUUAGCCUCAGCCACAUCUCCAAAUAAUGAAUUGGAUGUGCUGGAAUCAACUCAAGGAAUGACCAUUGAUGUUGCCAUUUCCUUUUUACAAAGACUAGUGAUGAUGGCUGACAUAUUAAUAUUUGCCUCUAGUUUAAACUUUGCGGACCUUGAAGCGGAAAAAAACAUGUCGUCUGGUGGGAUUCUGAGGCAAUGUUUAAGAUUAGUUUGUACCUGUGCUGUUAAAAAUUGCUUAGAAUGUAAAGAAAAGAACGGAUUGAUGGAUGUUGGCUCGGAUAUGAAUUCCAAUUUGUAUGAAGAGGCUAAAGUUAUCGUAAGGAAUUUGCCCUCUCAAAAGGGCCCUUCUGAAAAUUUCAAACUUCAAAAUAGUGCAGUGAAGGAUUUUGAAAGACUCCUUCAAGACAUGGAUGUCAAUCGCCUUCGUGCUGUCAUUUACCGAGAUGUAGAGGAAACAAAACAGGCUCAGUUUUUAUCACUAGCAGUUGUGUACUUCAUCUCUGUGUUAAUGGUGUCAAAGUAUCGAGAUAUUCUUGAGCCUCCAACUCAGCGAAUUUCGAAUGCAACAUUCUCAGGCUGUGAUAAUAAAUUAGGAAGCAAAUCCUUUGGUGAAUGCCAAAAUAAUCCUUGUGCCAAAGAAAAUGCACCCGUUAUUGAGGAAACAAAAAGUAAUGGAGAAAUUCAGGUCAAUGGUUCAGAGAUUUCUCCUCCCAUUGAUGAAGAUGAUGAUGAUGACUCAGCUCCUGCUAUUUUGAACACGGACAAAGAUUUUCAUGAGGUCAGUUUGGAAGGAGGCAGCAUCAUGCCACAUGGAGGUGAAGUACUUUUUGAUGACGAAGAGGAUGAAAGAGGUGCUCGUGUCAAACAAGAAAUCUCCAUGUUGUCAUCAGCUAAAAGCAAUAUUAGCUCAGGCGCCCCCUCUGAAAAGUCUCUUCAAAGUCGACCUGAAGAUUUAAAUAUUAAGUCCUUUGUUCCAUCAAAAGACCUCAUUAUUCCAACUCCAUCACGAGAAGCAACUUUAACUCAAAAAUUGGAGGUUGCCCUAGGCUCUGUUUGUCCAUUGCUUCGGGAAAUCAUGGUGGACUUUGCUCCUUUUCUAUCUAAAACUCUGAUUGGAUCCCAUGGUCAAGAUCUAUUGAUGGAAGGAAAGGCCAUCACUACAUUUAAAAACUCUACCUCUGUCGUGGAACUGGUCAUGCUACUUUGUUCACAAGAAUGGCAAAACUCACUUCAAAAACAUGCAGGACUUGCUUUCAUUGAAUUAAUCAAUGAAGGAAGACUCCUUUCCCAUGCCAUGAAGGAUCAUAUUGUUCGAGUAGCUAACGAAGCGGAAUUUAUUUUGAAUCGAAUGCGAGCAGACGAUGUGCUUAAACACGCAGAAUUUGAAUCAUCUUGUGCUUUAAAUCUCAAUGAAAGGAACGAGGAGGAAAAGAUGUGUGAUCAUCUCAUUACAGCAGCUCGCCGAAGAGACGGAGUUAUAGCCAGCAGAUUAGUUGAUAAAGUUGUGGAUGUUCUCUCCUCGAACCAAUAUUGUUACAACUAUUGGAAAAACGCAGAAGAAAUCGGAAAGAGGAUAUUUUGGAAACUGGAUGUAUGGGAAGAUGAUGCCCGUCGGCGUAGGAGACUGAUUCGUGAUCCUAUUGGAUCCACACAUCCUGAGGCAACACUGAAGGCCUGUUUAGAGCAUGGCGCCACAGAAGACGCUGUUCAAGCAGCUAAAGCUGAUUUUCAUGCACAUUUGGCAGCUAAUCGAGCUCAACAAACAGCUUCGAGUCAUGAUCUAGUUGAGGACUCUGAACUACUUGCAGAGGAUAGAGAAAUUGAUGCAGAUAAUAGCGGUGAGUUAUUUUUUCCUCAUUAUUGUUACUAUUUAUUUGAUUGUAUUUUUUUAGGUCCUAUUAACAUCAGCACUAGUGCAAUAUUGGUAUCUCCUGGAUUAUCCCUUGUUGGAACAUUGUCCAUUACAUCUUCUGAGCUUUAUUUUGAAGUGGAUGAGGACCAUGAUUUAUUUAGAAGUGCAGACCCUCAGGUAUUGAGGUACACGGAUCAUUUACAUGGGAAAUGGUAUUUCAGCGAAAUAAGAGCCAUUUUUUCAAGGAGAUACCUUCUACAAAACACAGCUAUAGAGAUAUUCCUAGCAUCGAGGACUUCAAUCAUGUUUGCAUUUGGAGAUCAAACCACAGUCAAAAAAGUCAUCAAAGUCCUUCCCCGAGUCGGAGUGGGGAUCAAGUACGGAAUACCACAGACACGGCGUGCCAGCCUAAUGUCUGCUCGACAACUCUUUAGAGCCUCCAACAUGACACAAAAGUGGCAACGAAGAGAAAUAUCUAACUUUGAGUAUCUCAUUUUCCUCAAUACCAUCGCGGGAAGAACCUAUAAUGACUUGAAUCAAUACCCCGUUUUCCCUUGGGUCCUCACCAAUUAUGAAGACUCCGAAAUUGAUCUCAGCUCUCCCAACAAUUACAGAGACUUGAGUAAGCCCAUUGGUGCUCUCAAUCCCGCUAGAAAACAAUACUUUGAGGAACGCUACAACUCUUGGGAAAGUGAUCAAAUCCCGCCCUUCCACUAUGGAACACACUAUUCCACCUCUGCCUUUGUUCUCAACUACCUUAUUCGUUUAGAGCCCUUCACUUCCCUCUUUCUGGCGCUCCAGGGGGGAAAAUUUGAUCAUCCCAAUAGGAUAUUCAGUUCCAUCAAAACCUCUUGGCAAAACUGUCAAAGGGACACCUCAGAUGUUAAAGAACUCAUCCCAGAGUUCUUUAGUCUACCGGAAAUGUUUGUUAACAUGAAUGGCUACAAACUAGGAUCUCUGGAUGAUGGUGUAGAUGUGGGCGACGUAGACCUUCCUCCAUGGGCCUCUACUCCACAUGAAUUUGUACGGAUCAAUCGUCAAGCACUAGAAUCUGAAUUUGUCUCUUGUCAAAUCCAUCAAUGGAUUGAUCUCAUCUUUGGCUACAAACAACGAGGACCCGAGGCUGUUCGUGCUACAAAUGUCUAUUAUUACUUAACAUAUGAGGGAAGUGUGGAUUUAGAGUCUAUGACAGAUCCCUUUAUGAGAGAGGCCAUUGAGAAUCAAAUCAAAAACUUUGGACAAACCCCUUCACAACUCCUCAUGGAGCCACAUCCUCCACGGAGCUCUGCCAUGCAUCUUUCUCCCAUGAUGUUCUCCUCCAUCCCUGAUGACAUUUGUAUGGUCAUGAAGUUUCUCUCCAACUCCCCCAUUUGUCACAUCACUGCUAAUACUUAUCCUCAACUCCCAAUGCCCUCGGUUGUCACUGUGACUGCGAAUCAACAUUUUGCGGUUAAUAGAUGGAACGUUAAUUACACAGGUACCCAGAUUAGCAACAAGAACACUUUACCCACCAAUAGCAAUAAUAAUAGUCAAGCUCCAACUCAAAGUCCAAGCUAUGCCGUCGACAGUCAGAGUCAAGCCAAUGCCAAUGGGGGCUCAAACCUUCCUUUGUCAAUGGAUCCUGUACUGGCUGUCGUGUCCAACUCGAUUGGGCAUCAGGUGAAACGACACCUCGUAGGAGAUAACUUUAGUCAAAAGAUCACAAUGAGAAGUAAUUGCUUUGUUGUGACUGUGGACUCUACUUUUCUGAUUGCCUGCGGCUUUUGGGACAAUUCCUUCCGUGUCUUUUCCACUGAGUCAGCUAAGAUCGUACAAAUUAUCUUUGGACACUAUGGUGUUGUAACGUGCCUUGCUCGCUCUGAGUGUAACAUCACUUCAGACUAUUAUAUUGCAUCUGGCUCUGAGGACUGUACAGUUCUUCUCUGGCAUUGGAACGCACGACUUCAAAGCAUUGUGGGAGAAGGAGAGCAACCAACGCCUAGAGCUAUUCUGACUGGCCAUGAUCAAGCUGUUACUUGUGUUGUCAUUUCUGCAGAGCUGGGUCUCGUCAUCUCUGGGUCAAAAGAUGGCCCCAUCUUAGUGCACACAACAUUUGGGGAUCUUCUCAGGUCUUUGGAUUCUCCGUCCGGUUUAUCUUGCCCCUCCAAUAUAGCAUUAUCCCGAGAGGGACUUGUCGUUGCCCAUUAUCCCAAUGGACACAUUGUUUCAUUCACUUCAAAUGGAAAAAAGCUUCGACAUGAAACGCACAACGAUACACUCCACUGUAUCCUUUUAUCUCGAGAUGGUGAAUAUCUUAUUACAGGAGGAGAUCGAGGCAUUGUAGAGGUCUGGAGAACCUUUAAUUUAGCUCUUCUAUAUGCUUUUCCUGCUUGUGACACAAGUGUUCGUUCCCUUACUUUGUCUCAUGACCAAAAGUUCCUGUUGGGAGGUUUGUCCACUGGAUCCGUCGUUGUUUUUCACAUUGACUUUAAUCGUUGGCACCAUGAAUUUCAACAAAGAUAUUAAGAACUAUUAUUAUACUUAUGUUGAUGAUGAUGAGAAGACCUUUUUAACAUGGGGAAAAAGAACAUAGAGGAUCAAUGAUCAUGUUAUACUAAUUGCUGUUAAUGAUACUUAUACUACGAUUCCUACCACCCUAAACACAUUCCAUCCGUUUUCAUCAUUUUCUAUUCUACUACUUUAUUGUAUACAAAAAAAUAAGAAAAAAAUAUCCUUUCUAGUCAAAAAAAUAAAUAAAAACAGAAAGAGUAAUUUGAAGAAACAAAGAAUCAUCUUUACACCACCCUCCCCCCCUUUUUUCCCCCAUGUUUUAUUGAGAAUCUUAUUUUUCGUUGUUUUUGUUUUUAGAAGACAUUCAUUUACUUUUUCUAUUAUAAUAAUAAUUAUUAUUACCUCUUUCCCUCUCUCUCUCUCUUUCUCCCAUAAUUACCUACUACAUACAUACCGAUAUUAGUCUUUCUCUUUGCAGAGAUCAUUAAUAUUCAGCUACUCCCCUAUUCAAAUAAUACAUUUUUGAGUUUUUGUUCCCCGUCUACGCAUGCACUUUUCUCUUCCGAACUUAUUUUUAUAUGUUCCUUUUUUUCUUGUCUCCCUGAGUUGUAGAUACAAAACUUACAGUCACUUUCCUUACUAUGACUUAUUGGAUUUUUAUAUUGUAUUUAUAAGAAAUGAAUGAAUUAUCUAUUAGUAUCCAUUUUCCUUGUACUUAAUUAUUUCAUUCAUAUGUGUGUUUCUUUAGUUUGUUUAUUUUUUUUAUCUUUAUUUAAAAGGUUUAUUCUUUUUUACAUCAUAUGAACAUUUUUAACCCUAUUUUCCACAAAAAGCUUGUUGUGAUGAUUGAUUUAUAAUUGUAAUUAUUAUUUCAAGUACUAUCAUUAUUAAUUAAUUAUAAUCAUAUUGAUAUUUUAGAUAUAUUUAAUAAAAAAAGUUGCUAGUGAUUAUUAUUC